GGAGAGGAUCAAGCGGUCGCUCGCUGUUGCACUGGCGACGGCGAGAGGAAAGUCCGGACUCCGCAGGGCAGGGUGGCCGCUAACGGCGGCCCCGAGUGAUCGGGGGAAAGUGCCACAGAAAGGAGACGGCCCCGGCGCGCAAGCGACGGGGAGUCGGUGAAACGGUGGGCUCGCCCCACCAGCGGCGAUGGAAACCUCGCCGCUCGGCAAACCCCACCCGGAGCAAGACCAACAGGAGGGUUGCGUUGCCCGCGCUGACCCUCGGGUAUGUCGCUCGAGCCGGUUGGCAACAACCGGCCCAGAGGAAUGACCGCUGCCCACCGCGUUAACGGUGGGAACAGAAUCCGGCUUAUCGAUCCUCUCCGGCC
rnacentral:RNase_P_RNA from 1 species